UACGUAGGGGGCUAGCGUUGUCCGGAAUCAUUGGGCGUAAAGCGCGCGUAGGCGGCCCGGUAAGUCCGCUGUAAAAGUCAAAGGCUCAACCUUUGAAUGUCAGUGGAUACUGCCGGGCUAGAGUCCGGAAGAGGCGAGUGGAAUUCCUGGUGUAGCGGUGAAAUGCGCAGAUAUCAGGAAGAACACCCGUGGCUAAGGCGGUUCUCUAGUACGGUACUGACGCUGAGACGCGAAAGCGUGGGGAGCGAACAGG
rnacentral:rRNA from 1 species